UGGGGAAUAUUGCGCAAUGGGCGAAAGCCUGACGCAGCAACGCCGCGUGAGUGAUGAAGGCCUUCGGGUCGUAAAGCUCUGUCGGAGGGAACGAAUGCUCCUGAAGUUAACAGCCUCAGGAGGUGACGGUACCCUCAAAGGAAGCACCGGCUAACUCUGUGCCAGCAGCCGCGGUAAUACAGAGGGUGCAAGCGUUAAUCGGAAUUACUGGGCGUAAAGGGUGCGUAGGUGGUUUGAUAAGUUGGGUGUGAAAGUCCUGGGCUCAACCUGGGGACUGCGCUCAAUACUGUCAAGCUAGAGUACUGUAGAGGAAGGUGGAAUUUCCAGUGUAGCGGUGAAAUGCGUAGAUAUUGGAAGGAACAUCAGUGGCGAAGGCGACUUUCUGGACAGAUACUGACACUGAGGCACGAAAGCGUGGGGAGCAAACAGGAUUAGAUACCCGCGUAGUCCCUGAGCGGGCUGGCAAGGCGCAU
rnacentral:rRNA from 1 species